CAGCCGCCGCGGUAAAACGGAGGGGGCUAGCGUUGUUCGGAAUUACUGGGCGUAAAGCGCACGUAGGCGGCUUUUUAAGUCAGAGGUGAAAGCCCGGAGCUCAACUCCGGAACUGCCUUUGAGACUUGAAGGCUUGAACGUCGGAGAGGUGAGUGGAAUUCCGAGUGUAGAGGUGAAAUUCGUAGAUAUUCGGAAGAACACCAGUGGCGAAGGCGGCUCACUGGACGACUGUUGACGCUGAGGUGCGAAAGCGUGGGGAGCAAACAGGAUUAGAUACCCCCGUAGUCCCUGUCUCUUAUAC
rnacentral:rRNA from 1 species